rnacentral:rRNA from 1 species
UGCGUAGGUGGCACUUUAAGUUGGAUGUGAAAUACCCGAGCUUAACUUGGGGGCUGCAUCCAAUACUGGAGAGCUAGAGUGCAGGAGAGGGAAGUGGAAUUCCUAGUGUAGCGGUGAAAUGCGUAGAUAUUAGGAGGAACACCAGUGGCGAAGGCGACUUUCUGGACUGUAACUGACACUGAGGCACGAAAGCGUGGGGAGCAAACA